rnacentral:snoRNA from 1 species
UUUUUAUGAUGAUAAACUUUACUUUUCAGUUCUGCUUCUGAACCAAAAAUACCUGAAGAUAACCCUUACCAAAGCUCAAAUAUCUGACAU